rnacentral:rRNA from 1 species
UAGAGUUUGAUCCUGGCUCAGAUUGAACGCUGGCGGCAUGCCUUACACAUGCAAGUCGAACGGCAGCACGGGGGCAACCCUGGUGGCGAGUGGCGAACGGGUGAGUAAUAUAUCGGAACGUACCCAGUAGUGGGGGAUAACUAUCCGAAAGGAUAGCUAAUACCGCAUACGAUCUGUGGAUGAAAGCAGGGGAUCUUCGGACCUUGUGCUAUUGGAAUGGCCGAUAUCUGAUUAGCUAGUUGGUAGGGUAAAGGCCUACCAAGGCGACGAUCAGUAGCUGGUCUGAGAGGACGACCAGCCACACUGGAACUGAGACACGGUCCAGACUCCUACGGGAGGCAGCAGUGGGGAAUUUUGGACAAUGGGGGCAACCCCGAUCCAGCAAUGCCGCGUGAGUGAAGAAGGCCCUCGGGUUGUAAAGCUCUUUUGUCAGGGAAGAAACGGUGAUCUCUAAUAUAGAUUGCUAAUGACGGUACCUGAAGAAUAAGCACCGGCUAACUACGUGCCAGCAGCCGCGGUAAUA